UCUCUAAAAAUGCUUAUACUAAUAAACUUACUAUUCUUAAAUCUCACAACAUCAGAUAUUCAGCCACUGUACUUUGUAGUAAAGGUUGUUUGCC